AUACAUCUCUCUGGUUCCAAACCAGAUCAUAUUACAAUCUUAUAACAUAAUGAAAUUCCGGUUUCUAAAAUUUAUUCUGUGGUCACGAAACACUAUGCACUAGUUCGUUUUGUAAAUCAAACAGACGUUGAUUAAUAAUUUAGAUAAUGUCGCCCGAAAUGUUAUUACACGUAUUGCAAUUCCUUUGUAUUUAUCAUCACAGUCAAAGUAAUUUUCUUAACAAAUAAUUUUCUCCACGUUUCUAGGUUACUUAAUUUCUAUUUCCUAUCAAAACACGCCUGCUGCUACUUACUGCUUUGAUAAUAAAAACACAAUUACGCAAAUUCACUUUUCCACAGCACAGACCAGUUGAAAUUUCAACGAAAUACGCCAGGAUACCACGGAGUUGUGCAAAGCUGACAUGGCGCGUGCGAGGCGCGAAGCGCGAGUGAUAACGCGAGGUAGAUUGUCUUUCCAAUUUAACCGUUUUCUAACAGUCAGCUUGUGGUCUAAGGGUACGAAUCACCACCGUAGAUCCAACAUGUGGAUGCAAACGGGUAUUCGAGACUACACGCUGAUUUUCGUUUUUUUCCGGAGGACUUUUUCGGUCAAAGGUUGACCUGUAUCGAUGGGCAAGAAGUUCCGCUAAACAGUUGAAUUUUAAUUCGCUUUUUAGGACGAAUAUUCAUAAGCGUGACGUCAAAAGGCCUUGAUCGGUAAUAAAAAGUGUGUAGAAAUGGACCUGGUCUUAUUUAAAUAUACGCGCUUACUAACUAAUGUUUCUGUACUUAACAUAUUACGUGUCACUUGUACCGUCUUUAGCCGACGAAACCGUUGAAGUUUCCCUAUUGAAACGUCUCAUCUCAGCGUACGUAAAGCAAGGGAUAUGAAUCGUGGUUUACAUGGAAAGUUCGUGUGGUAUAGAAUGGGUCAGAUGUAACUAUCCCAUUGUAACUAAUUAAUUGAAACUGUGGAUGAAACGAAAGGAAGUUACAUUAUUGAUUUUAUAUACACUAGCUAGAUAGAAGUUGUAUUAUAAUGAAGAGAAGCGAUACAUUGAUCAUUUCUAUACUUCCUAAGUAGUCGUGAUUAUCGAAAUAUGUAUUUAUUUGUUCUUGCAGUUUCACGACGAAUAUACUUCUAGAAGUAAAUAUUUUACUUUAGGCACCUUAUGCACAAGCAAUCUUUCUAUAAAAUCAUGAUUAGUUGACUUUGCCCUAUCAUAAUAUCGAAGCGAUUAUCUUCUGCAUGAUAAGGGGGAUUAAAUCAAGCGUGAUUCAUGGAACGUGUCGAGAAGCCACGCAGUUGCAUGUUGCGGUUUGGUGUAAAAUGUAGAAUGUUAUUCUCUGGUGCAAAACGAAACUCAAUCAGAGGACGUAAUUACUUACAUAAGAAAAUCGUUCGCACCAGCUUCAUUCUUGUAUCAAGAUAAUAUCGACGGUGAUAUAUUAGUUCUUGAUUUUUAAAACAAUUGGUUUGACGCACUAGAUGUAUCUUUAAUUCCGAUUUAUUUAAUAAAAUAUACAUGCUUGUAGGUAGCGUAAUAUAUGUAAAGUUUGAAAGGGAAGUUACUAUGCUAAAGUUUUAAUAAAGGAAAAUAUGUAUCUAAUAAAGUUCCGAAUUUAAGUUAAGAAUCUCGAGUUUAGAAUAAUAACCGAGUACUUGCUAUGUAUGUAUUUUCAUAUUAUCUCGUAUUAUUAGAAAUUGAAUGCGUUUUCUAAUAUGAGCAUCCGAAGAAUUUAAUAUAAUAUGAGCGAUAUUUAACUUUAUAACUAUGUAUGUAUAGCGUUGCAUCUUAUGCAGCUUUUCACGUUAAAUUCCAAUAUAAUAGUAAAAAUAUUGUAAUUAAUAAUCUAAUCCUUCAACAGCUAAUGUUAGGAAUAUUACAAAAAUUUACUAUAUUAUUGGCUCAUCAUACAACUCUGAAAAUGUAAGUCUAACUGUAUUUUUAUUUUUUACAGUAUAUUUCGUUUCUUUAAAACUGAAUAGAUUCGAUUUAUUAAAAUGUUAUAAUAUUAUAAUAUUAUCGAUUUUGCUUCUUGUGUAAAAAAUUUAAAUUUUAAAUGUCGUCAUAAAAAAGAAGUUCAAAGGAUUCAGGUUAAAAGACCAAAUAGCCCAUGCUAUCGGAUUUUCUCGUCCUCAUUUUUCAUAGAGAAUUUGAUAUAAAUGCAGUCUAAUAUUAGCCAAAAAGGAAAACAGAACUUUGUCGUAUUAAAAUUUCAUAUUUUGCUCUUCAUCAAAGAAUAAAACACACAAAUGAAUAUAUGA